GGAUUAGAUACCCUGGUAGUCCACGCCGUAAACGAUGGUUACUAGGUGUUUGGGAUGUUAACCUCCUGAGUACUAAAGCUAACGCAUUAAGUAACCCGCCUGGGGAGUACGGUCGCAAGGCUAAAACUCAAAGGAAUUGACGGGGGCCCGCACAAGCGGUGGAGUAUGUGGUUUAAUUCGAAGCAACGCGCAGAACCUUACCUACCCUUAACAUUCUGUGACAGCUACAGAGAUGUAGUUUUCUCUUCGGAGACACAGGGAUAGGUGCUGCAUGGCUGUCGUCAGCUCGUGCUG
rnacentral:rRNA from 1 species